CACUGCCAUCCUGAGGAGUCUUGACAGCGGGGCACUGAACAGCUGCAAAAGUGGAAGGAAAAUGAAUGUUUGAGUUUGUGUACUGAAACAUAUAGAAGAUGGUGGAGAUGAUCUAUUAUGAUGAUGAAGCCCUCAAUACAACUGAAGCUGCAUACAGAGCCUAGGCUUAGAGUUUGGUCUGUACAGGACACACUGCCAUCCUGAGGAGUCUCGAUACCGGGGCACUGAACAACUGCGCAGUAAACACAAAGGAUUGCUUCUAUGAGAUUCACAUUGAAGGGGUCACACAUAAAAUUAGGUUGGGGGGGUGUUGGACCAUGCUUUAGUGGCACCACACUCUGUCACUUUGGCCCCAACUAACUGGUAGCCUUCAUUGCAUGAAUAUUUGCAUUCGGAUUUGUAGGAAAAAUUCCCGAAAGCGUGGCUACAUUGGACGCUGCCAUUCUCAGGAGCAGAGAUGUACUUUUCCUCACAUAUAACAACUGAAAAAAUCAGAAUUCAGAACAGCCUUCAAAACAUUCACAUUGGUGGCUGUUGAUGGUUUCAACACACUCCCCAUUAGGACUACAAGAGUCUUUCUUACAGGAUGCUGUAAAACAAAGUUUGCUUUUUUGACUUUCAAUCAUUGAAUUCACUUU